UGUCCGCUUUUUUCUUCUUCUUUUUUUUGGUUUUUUGGUUUUUGUUUUGUUUGUUUGUUUUGUUUUGUUUUGUUUUUUCUUUUGAGUUUUGCUCUGCGGCGCCAGCACUAAUGAUUUUCAAAGGGCUCUUCUCUCACUUCUCUCGGUGCUGUCCUUCGAUGAGUGAGUGAGUGAGUGUUUUCGAGGAAGCGUCGUUGGUUUCUGAAUGUUGACGCAGAAGCUCUAUUCGGGAUUGAUUGUCUUUUGAAUGAUUGUACUCGUGGGGGGGAACCAUACCAUUACCAUAGGGUGGGAAGGGGAAGGGCGUGACGAGUUGAGAGGGUCAGCUUUUAAGAGACCUGCAGCGUGAUGCACCCUCUCGACCUGUUUCCAGAUUUGCUCUAGAGAUAUGGCACUCGUCUGGUGAGUGGCGCUCGAUUGGACGGGUGUAAUUGUCGAUUUCGAACCAGGGCCCUGGAGGGAGGCUGCCAAUUUACCGAAUUCAUGGAUGGACUCGGCUGCCCUGCUAUGCGUUUUCACCGUGGUUUAGCAUGAAUCCCUGCUGCGUGGUAAAAUGCAUUGGUCGGAUGUAUUUUGAGCAACAACUGAUGUUUUCAGCUGAGUACAUGCAUUUCAUUGUCUACGGUCGUAGUGGAGUCCCGGCACGUGAAGGUGUGAGUGAAGGCAUGACUGACUUGGGUUGAAGGUACACUGGAAUCAAAUGCGGUGGUAUGAUUUCACACACUUCGGAGAUUAAGUGUCGCCUGGAUAGAGUAUUGUACUACGAUGUGCAUAAACGAAAAUUGUACUCCGUGAAAAUUUAGGCUUUCGACAUCUGCAUGCUGUGUUAGAGCCUUUAUGACUCAGGAUACGUUUCUGGAAGUCUUCGUCCAAAUGAAUCGAAUCUUAGAGAGCAUGAACAAAUUAGAAAGGAAAUAAAUAAAUAAAUAAAUAACUGAGAAAAAGUGACAACUCAAGGCAUAUGUAAGAGUAAUUUGGGAAAACAAAUUUAUACAUGAGGCGUGUAUACUGACAUAUCAA